ncrna:unclassified sequences type-P1 twister ribozyme
AUUGUAAUGCAGCAUAUAGAUGUAUUAACACCUAUAUAGAGUUCAAAGCCUCUACAAAUGCAGAUGACAAU